rnacentral:rRNA from 1 species
AUUGAACGCUGGCGGCAGGCCUAACACAUGCAAGUAGAGCGGAGCGGCGGACGGGUGAGUAAUGCCUAGGAAUCUGCCUGGUAGUGGGGGAUAACGUCCGGAAACGGGCGCUAAUACCGCAUACUAUCAGAUGAGCCUAGGUAGGAUUAGCUAGUUGGUGUGGUAAAGGCCUACAAAGGAGACGAUCCGUAACUGGUCUGAGAUGAGUAUCAGUAACACUGGAACUGAGACACGGUCCAGACUCCUACGGGAGGCAUCAUGUGGGAAUAUUGGACAAUGGGCGAAAGCCUGAUCCAGCCAUGCCGCGUGUGUGAAGAAGGUCUUCGGAUUGUAAAGCACUUUAAGUUGGGAGGCGUUACCAACAGAAUAAGCACCGGCUAACUUCGUGCCAGCCGCCGCGGUAAUUC